rnacentral:rRNA from 1 species
GAUGAACGCUGGCGGCGUGCUUAACACAUGCAAGUCGAACGGAAAGGCUCCUGCUUGCAGGGGUACUCGAGUGGCGAACGGGUGAGUAACACGUGGGUGAUCUGCCCAGCACUUCGGGAUAAGCCUGGGAAACUGGGUCUAAUACCGGAUAGGACGAUGGUUUGGAUGCCAUUGUGGAAAGUUUUUUCGGUGUGGGAUGAGCUCGCGGCCUAUCAGCUUGUUGGUGGGGUAAUGGCCUACCAAGGCGUCGACGGGUAGCCGGCCUGAGAGGGUGUGCGGCCACAUUGGGACUGAGAUACGGCCCAGACUCCUACGGGAGGCAGCAGUGGGGAAUAUUGCACAAUGGGCGCAAGCCUGAUGCAGCGACGCCGCGUGGGGGAUGACGGCCUUCGGGUUGUAAACUCCUUUCGCUAGGGACGAAGCGCAAGUGACGGUACCUGGAGAAGAAGCACCGGCUAACUACGUG